CUCAAGUGACUAAGGGGCAGGUGGUGUAUACAACAUGGAUGCACUGGACAAAGGUCUUUGUGAGGAAGAGCAGCUAAACAGGAAGAGAUUUUGAAUCACAAUGGAAAACAAAUACACAACAUAACCUGCUGGCCCAAGAGAGUAGCGCAUGAACUGAGCUAUCCAAACAACCCAUACUCCACACUGGCAGCAAGAAGCUGAGCCACCCCAGCUGCUGCUGUUUGCAGCAGAGCCACCCUGAUGCACAAGCAUAGGCAACCCAAGGCACAGGUGAGUAACCAGUCC
rnacentral:lncRNA from 1 species